rnacentral:rRNA from 1 species
AGUGAACGCUGGCGGCAGGCCUAACACAUGCAAGUCGAACGGCAGCACAAGAGAGCUUGCUCUCUGGGUGGCGAGUGGCGGACGGGUGAGGAAUGCAUCGGAAUCUGCCCAUUUGUGGGGGAUAACCUCGGGAAACCGGGACUAAUACCGCAUACGACCUACGGGUGAAAGCAGGGGAUCUUCGGACCUUGCGCAGAUGGAUGAGCCGAUGCCGGAUUAGCUAGUUGGAGGGGUAAAGGCCCACCAAGGCGACGAUCCGUAGCUGGUCUGAGAGGAUGAUCAGCCACACUGGGACUGAGACACGGCCCAGACUCCUACGGGAGGCAGCAGUGGGGAAUAUUGGACAAUGGGCGCAAGCCUGAUCCAGCCAUGCCGCGUGUGUGAAGAAGGCCUUCGGGUUGUAAAGCACUUUUGUUGGGAAAGAAAAGCAGCCGGUUAAUACCCGGUUGCCAUGACGGUACCCAAAGAAUAAGCACCGGCUAACUUCGUG